rnacentral:lncRNA from 1 species
UAAUUUUAAACAUCAUUCAUUCAAGUACAUAACGUAGGGGGUCCAAAAGGCCCUAGUUCAAAAUACAUUGUCAAAGGAACAAAAUAUAAGACAUAGGAAAAUUAAACUGCAGGCUUUCUGGCUUGGAGUUCUUCUAGUUCUUCUUCGAAUCUCUUAAGCAAUCCUCUACAGAGCAAAAUGAAACUGAUUAUGGCUGGAGGAGUGAUAUCUUCCUUCAACCGCGUCUCUUAACUUCCAUGGUAAUUCUUUAGCCGCCCAAUU